UUAAAUGCAGAGAUUGGGAAGAGUAUUUUUGCUGAAUGUUAAAAGAGAAUUGUGUCAGAGGCUGAAAACACAUAACAUUUCUGCAGAUUGAAAACCACCCAUGAGCAGGCAGAAGGAAAAUAGUAUUUCUGUCCGGAUAUAAACCGUUAUUUUAUUAAGUGAAUGUUCAUCUAUAAUUAGAGAUGAAUAUUAACUAGAGUGGAACCGCGAUCCGUCGUCUCUAUU
rnacentral:ncRNA from 1 species